UACGGAGGGAGCUAGCGUUGUUCGGAUAUACUGGGCGUAAAGCGCACGUAGGCGGCGCCGUAAGUCAGGGGUGAAAUCCCGGAGCUCAACUCCGGAACUGCCCUUGAAACUGCAGUGCUAGAAUUCUGGAGAGGCGAGUGGAAUUCCGAGUGUAGAGGUGAAAUUCGUAGAUAUCAGGAAGAACACCCGUGGCGAAGGCGGCUCUCUGGGACGGUACUGGCGCUGAGACGCGAAAGCGUGGGGAGCGAACAGG
rnacentral:rRNA from 1 species